UACGUAGGGCGCAAGCGUUGUCCGGAAUUAUUGGGCGUAAAGAGCUCGUAGGCGGUUUGUCGCGUCUGCCGUGAAAACCCGGGGCUUAACCCUGGGCUGGCAGUGGAUACGGACAGACUAGAGGUAGGUAGGGGAGAAUGGAAUUCCCGGUGUAGCAGUGAAAUGCGCAGAUAUCGGGAGGAACACCGGUGGCGAAGGCGGUUCUCUGGGCCUUACCUGACGCUGAGGAGCGAAAGCGUGGGGAGCGAACAGG
rnacentral:rRNA from 1 species